GUGAUAUACCAAUAUUUAUUGAUGAAAAUGACAUAAUAAAUAAACUACUGAUAAUUUAGUAAUGCUCCUUGACUAAUUACAUUUCAAUGGCAGUUUUGAAUUCAGUGUAUGCAGAAGACAUCACAGAUUCUGCUUACAGAGAAGGACGAGCCUUGCAAGCGUGGAUUCAAGGACCUUGGCUAUGACCCCGUGGCUCUCCAGAGUUCACAGACUGCCAGCCACAGCUUUGGUUGAUGAUGAUUUAGACACGCAGUUCACUUAGCAUAUGAUCACUCAUGGAACCCAUUUCCUCUUUCAUCCAAGUUGCUCACUUCACGAUAUAACAAAGUGUUACAGUAGUAAUAUUAAUUCCGGUACUAAGCAGGCAAGUAAAAAGUUCUCAUUAAAGCAGAGUAAUUAUAGAUACAUAUCGGAAUAAAGUAGGAUUUUAACUGUGGGCUAUUUAAAUUAACUUCCGAGAUUGAAUCUUUUUAUGUGCACUGAGGGCUUCCCCCUGGAAUUCAUGGCAACCACUUCAGUGCUCUUCAGGCGGGCGGAGAAAGGCUGAAGGAAGAACUGUCUGUUCAUUGCCAGGGUUGCAGACGGCCAUGACGGCCGCCUGCUCAAACUCGCUUUCCCCGGACUGCUGCAAUUUUGAACUGAGCCACUAGAUGGUGUACGCUGUUCUUUGCUUGCCCCCCGGAAAAAAGCGUCAAGAACUAUGCUCAGAGAUGGGGCUGUAAGUGAGGCCAGCAAAAACAAAGAGGAAAAGUACAAAGCUUCCCGCUACUAUCCCCCCACUUCUUCCACAGUGUACAGGUGUCUGGGGAGCUUCCUCGUCGCAGAUCCUGGACGAUGCUACCGGCGGUCUCACCGGGGUAAGCCAGCUCCGAAAUGUAUUAUUUCAAGCACCACCUCAUAUGUCUUUGCG
rnacentral:lncRNA from 1 species